rnacentral:rRNA from 1 species
AGAAUCAACGCUGGCGGCGUGCCUAACACAUGCAAGUCGCACGAGAAAGGGACUUCGGUCCUGAGUACAGUGGCGCACGGGUGAGUAACACGUGAAUAAUCUACCUCCGAGUGGGGAAUAACUGAGAGAAAUCUUAGCUAAUACCGCAUAACACUUACGAGUCAAAGCAGCAAUGCGCUUGGAGAGGAGUUCGCGGCAGAUUAGUUAGUUGGCGGGGUAAUGGCCCACCAAGACGAUGAUCUGUA